rnacentral:tRNA from 4 species
GGGGCUAUAGCGCAGCUGGUAGCGCAUCUGCUUUGCAAGCAGAGGGUCGCCGGUUCGAACCCGGCUAGCUCCACC